CUCUUUUGUCUGAGAAGAGUGUUUUGGACAACUAUAAAAAGAUUAAGAUGGAAAAGUAAAGAGAGACAGAACUCUGAGGAAUACCAACAAUGCACACAUGACUACUUCAAGACUAAGAAGCAAAGAAGAGUAAGAAGAGUUUCUACAGACUGAUAUAUCAAAGAGGCUGGGAACUGUAAAGGGUAAACAAGCAAGCAAACAAACAAAAGAACUGUGAAGGGUUUAUUCACUCUGUUUUGCAAGCCAACAAGUAAGUCUACCACAAUUUCAGAAUACUGACAGGAGGCAUGAGACUCUUGAGUCAGAACACAAAGGAUUGUAUUGUCUGUGACUGAGCAGAACAUGAACUUUUUUUUGCAUCUGCUCUCUUGUCUUCCAAGUUCCAGGGAUCAGUGAAGAGUGGACCCAGGUGACACUGCACACACGGUGAGUACACAUGGCAGAUACGGACUUGAUGCUUAGGAAACCCCAAUCUUUUAACCUGUACCGUGAGCAAAAUUGCCCAACUUUGUUAGGAGGGAAAUAUUAUCUCCAUUAUACUUGUUAGCAAAUAACAUGCUUAUUGAGGGAAGCCUCCGCCUUCUAAGAAGACAUGGUAUGUAGAAAUCUUUGAAAAGAUAUUCCACAACAAAAAGCUAUCAGUGCCUCUGUUAUCAAAGAUGUGCAAAAAUAUGAGUAAUUCCUAGAAAACUGUCUUCAAUAAAAGGGAGAAACAAAAAUA